rnacentral:rRNA from 1 species
UACGGGGGGGCAAGCGUUGUUCGGAAUUACUGGGCGUAAAGGGCUCGUAGGUGGCCAACUAAGUCAGACGUGAAAUCCCUCGGCUUAACCGGGGAACUGCGUCUGAUACUGGAUGGCUUGAGUUUGGGAGAAGGAUGCGGAAUUCCAGGUGUAGCGGUGAAAUGCGUAGAUAUCUGGAGGAACACCGGUGGCGAAGGCGGCAUCCUGGACCAACACUGACACUGAGGAGCGAAAGCCAGGGGAGCAAACGGG